AGGAGUGGAGCUGCCGCUUAUUUGACUCAACACGGGAAAUCUCACCAGGCCCGGACACUGGAAGGAUUGACAGAUUGAGAGCUCUUUCUCGAUUCAGUGGGUGGUGGUGCAUGGCCGUUCUUAGUUGGUGGAGUGAUUUGUCUGGUUAAUUCCGAUAACGAACGAGACUCUGUCCUGCUAACUAGUUGCGCCGUCCUUUAGUUGCGGUGUAAUUUCUUAUUAGAGGGACUGGCGGCGUCUAGCCGCAUGAGAUUGAGCAAUAACAGGUCUGUGAUGCCCUUAGAUGUUCUGGGCUGCACACGCGCUACACUGAAGGGAUCAGCGUGUAUCCCCUUCCCGUCAGGGAUGGGUAACCUGCUGAACCCCCUUCGUGGUAGGGAUCGGAGCUUGCAAUUAUUCUCCGUGAACCAGGAAUUCCCAGUAAGUGCAAGUCAUAAGCUUGCGUUGAUUACGUCCCUGCCCUUUGUACACACCGCCCGUCGCUACUACCGAUUGAACGGUUUAGUGAGGCAUUUGGACUGGACCUCUGUCGGCGGUUUACGCCGAUGGUGCUGUCUGGGAAGAUUUCCGAACUUGACCGCUUAGA
rnacentral:rRNA from 1 species